GACAGAGGGUGCAAACGUUGUUCGGAAUUACUGGGCGUAAGGCGUGCGCAGGCGGCUUGCUAAGACAGGUGUGAAAGCCCCGAGCUUAACUUGGGAAUGGCGCUUGUGACUGGCAGGCUGGAGUGUGGCAGAGGGAGGUGGAAUUCCACGUGUAGCAGUGAAAUGCGUAGAGAUGUGGAGGAACACCGAUGGCGAAGGCAGCCUCCUGGGCCAACACUGACGCUCAUGCACGAAAGCGUGGGGAGCAAACAGG
rnacentral:rRNA from 1 species